UACGUAGGGUGUAAGCGUUGUCCGGAAUUAUUGGGCGUAAAGAGCUCGUAGGCGGUUUGUCGCGUCUGCUGUGAAAACUCGGGGCUUAACUCCGGGCCUGCAGUGGGUACGGGCAGACUAGAGUGCGGUAGGGGAGACUGGAAUUCCUGGUGUAGCGGUGAAAUGCGCAGAUAUCAGGAGGAACACCGGUGGCGAAGGCGGGUCUCUGGGCCGUAACUGACGCUGAGGAGCGAAAGCGUGGGGAGCGAACAGG
rnacentral:rRNA from 1 species